rnacentral:rRNA from 1 species
GAGUUUGAUCAUGGCUCAGGAUGAACGCUGGCGGCGUGCUUAACACAUGCAAGUCGAACGAACCUUCGGGUUAGUGGCGGACGGGUGAGUAACGCGUGGGAAUCUGCCCUCAGGAGGGGGAUAACGGUUGGAAACGACCGCUAAUACCCCAUAUGCCGAGAGGUGAAAUGAAUUUCGCCUGAGGAUGAGCCCGCGUCUGAUUAGCUUGUUGGUGAGGUAAUGGCUCACCAAGGCAUCGAUCAGUAGCUGGUCUGAGAGGAUGAUCAGCCACACUGGGACUGAGACACGGCCCAGACUCCUACGGGAGGCAGCAGUGGGGAAUUUUCCGCAAUGGGCGCAAGCCUGACGGAGCAACGCCGCGUGAGGGACGAAGGCCUCUGGGCUGUAAACCUCUUUUCUCAAGGAAGAAGAUAUGACGGUACUUGAGGAAUAAGCCACGGCUAAUUCCGUGCCAGCAGCCGCGGUAAUACGGGAGUGGCAAGCGUUAUCCGGAAUUAUUGGGCGUAAAGCGUCCGCAGGCGGCCUUUCAAGUCUGCUGUUAAAGCGUGGAGCUUAACUCCAUCAUGGCAGUGGAAACUGAUUGGCUUGAGUAUGGUAGGGGCAGAGGGAAUUCCCGGUGUAGCGGUGAAAUGCGUAGAUAUCGGGAAGAACACCAGUGGCGAAGGCGCUCUGCUGGGCCAUUACUGACGCUCAUGGACGAAAGCCAGGGGAGCGAGAGGGAUUAGAUACCCCUGUAGUCCUGGCCGUAAACGAUGAACACUAGGUGUCGGGGGAAUCGACCCCUUCGGUGUCGUAGCUAACGCGUUAAGUGUUCCGCCUGGGGAGUACGCACGCAAGUGUGAAACUCAAAGGAAUUGACGGGGGGCCCGCACAAGCGGUGGAGUAUGUGGUUUAAUUUGAUGCAACGCGAAAGAACCUUACCAGGGCUUGACAUCCUGCGAACCUUUAAGAAAUUAGAGGGUGCCUUCGGGAACGCAGUGACAGGUGGUGCAUGGCUGUCGUCAGCUCGUGUCGUGAGAUGUUGGGUUAAGUCCCGCAACGAGCGCAACCCACGUUUUUAGUUGCCAGCAUUUAGUUGGGCACUCUAGAAAGACCGCCGGUGAUAAACCGGAGGAAGGUGUGGAUGACGUCAAGUCAUCAUGCCCCUUACGUCCUGGGCUACACACGUACUACAAUGCUACGGACAAAGGGCAGCAAACUCGCGAGAGCUAGCAAAUCCCAUAAACCGUGGCUCAGUUCAGAUCGUAGGCUGCAACUCGCCUACGUGAAGUAGGAAUCGCUAGUAAUCGCAGGUCAGCAUACUGCGGUGAAUACGUUCCCGGGCCUUGUACACACCGCCCGUCACACCAUGGAAGUUGGCCAUGCCCGAAGUCGUUACUUUAACCCUUGUGGAGAAGGACGCCGAAGGUGGGGCUGAUGACUGGGGUGAAGUCGUAACAAGGUAACC